rnacentral:rRNA from 1 species
CGAGGGGGGCAAGUGUUGUUCGGAAUCACUGGGCGUAAAGGGAGCGUAGGCGGAUGUUUAAGUUGGAGGUUUAAAACCGGGGCCCAACCCCGGAGCGGCCUCCAAAACUGGACAUCUUGAAUGGGACAGAGGCUAGUGGAAUUGGGGGUGUAGCGGUGGAAUGCGUAGAGAUCCCCAAGAACACCGAUUGCGAAGGCAGCUAGCUGGGUCCACAUUGACGCUGAGGCUCGAAAGCAUGGGGAGCAAACAGGAUUAGAUACCCUGGUAGUCCAUGCCGUAAACGAUGAACACUAGGUUUCGCCCUCGUCAACGGGGCGGAGCCGCAGCUAACGCGUUAAGUGUUCCGCCUGGGGAAUACGGUCGCAAGACUG